rnacentral:rRNA from 1 species
CAGCAGCCGCGGGAAUACGAAGGGGGCUAGCGUUGCUCGGAAUCACUGGGCGUAAAGCGCACGUAGGCGGAUCGUUAAGUCAGAGGUGAAAGCCUGGAGCUCAACUCCAGAACUGCCUUUGAUACUGGCGAUCUCGAGUCCGGAAGAGGUAAGUGGAACUGCGAGUGUAGAGGUGAAAUUCGUAGAUAUUCGCAAGAACACCAGUGGCGAGGGCGACUUACUGGUCCGGUACUGACGCUGAGGUGCGAAAGCGUGGGGAGCAAACAGGAUUAGAUACCCCCGUAGUCCCUGUCUCUUAUAC